rnacentral:rRNA from 1 species
UACGGAGGGUGCAAGCGUUAUCCGGAUUCACUGGGUUUAAAGGGUGCGUAGGCGGGCAGGUAAGUCAGUGGUGAAAUCCCCGAGCUUAACUUGGGAACUGCCGUUGAUACUAUCUGUCUUGAAUAUCGUGGAGGUGAGCGGAAUAUGUCAUGUAGCGGUGAAAUGCUUAGAUAUGACAUAGAAUACCAAUUGCGAAGGCAGCUCACUACGCGAUUAUUGACGCUGAGGCGCGAAAGCGUGGGUAGCAAACAGG